CAUCAAGGAGCGAGCAUGUAACAGGCAAAAAAUAGAAGCUGGCUUUUCUCCGUGCCAGCCCCAGGGCUUGGGUUCCCAGCAAACGGCACAGGGUACAGCCCCAGUCGGAAACUCCCAACCUUACUCAGGGGGAAAAACGGGGUUUUCCGGAGACCUGUCCCUUUAGGGUUUAAAAGCGCGUCCCGUGGGAGCUUCGCUUUCACUUCUCUAGGGAGUUCGGAGCGGCAAGAGCCCAGCUGCUCGCCAAACCCCGCGGCCGCCCGCGUGAGUGACUUGGCGCAGCCAGAAACGAGGUUCAGUCUUUGGGUUUAUCACCGGCGCGCCUACACCGCCUCCUUUCCUAGGCACCUGCUUCCCAUGCACCUGGACCUGGACCAGAGGAGGGCGCGAAUUUCCAAAGCACCGCAGGAGAAACGAGCCGGCUUUCUGAAUCAGAGCGAUUUGGGGUAAAAAGCCUUGUCAGAUGACCUCCAAGGGCCUUGGCAAACGCUGGGCGAUUGGAUUGCUAAUAAGUCCACAGAAGCCACAAAUGUGCAAGACGCAAGCUGGACUAUUGCAAGUGGAGGCGUCCACCGAGGAGGCGUCCACCGAGGAGGCGUCUCAGCUCCUGCCGCGGAUGUGGUGGACGUUGCCAAGUCGUCUUGUAAAAAAAGGAAGUGAAAAAUGAUUAAGAGGGUCACGCCCUCUGCCCCUCCAACCUCUCUAAUCAGUCUCUUUCAGCUCUGUCUUCUGUACAUGCACCUGCUCAGGUGGAACCUCAAGGAAAAAUAUCCUGUGGGUCCACCUAAUCUGGUUGUUGUCAACCACAUCAUCCAUGACCGUCGCAAUCAAUAAAAGUCAAAUAGUUCAAUAGAAUAUUUUUCCUCCUCCUCCUCCUCUUCCUCCUCAUCAUCAUCGUCAUCACUGUCAUCACCACACCACAACGGGUAGAAUAUCUUAACAAUCAAAAUACUUUAAUAUUCUACGGGAAAUUAUUUCAAUGUAGAUGACAGUUUUUUAUUUAAAAUUUUUUAGCAUUGCUAAUAUAAACAUUAUAUUUUAUUCAGCCACCAGAGGGAGCCCCCAAAUAUAUGGAUUCUAGAAGAGAAUGAGAGCAAAAUAAAUAAUAACAUGAUCAACUCUAUUUUGUGGCUGUGGAAACUGUCAUGCAAGAGGUUAAGCAAAUUACCCAAGGCCAUGGAGCAGAUGAGUGAGAGAGCUGGGAGCGGAUCCAGGACUCUGCACUGCCUAGUUGACACAUUGCGUUCCAUUGUCUCACCAGGCUGCAAGCCGGCCUACUUCUUCCCAUCGCACUUAACUAAAAUCAGGUAUCGCAAUUAGCAUUUCUGAGCAAUAGUCAAUGGUAUUUCACCACCAAAAACAGAAUGUUGUCUCAAUAGAAAAACAAAUUAUAAGCAAUGAAUAAAGGUGAAAUAUAUUCAUUCAGAGCAGUGUUGAUAUGUUCAAUCCUUCUUCACAUCCUUUAACCUCUUAUCCUCUCCAGGCUGCUUAUAAAUAUAUUCAAUGUGUCAACAAAAAGUUUUAAUACAGAUACUGCCAGAAUAUCAGCAUUUUGGACAAAGAAAAAAACUUUCUACUUGAUGUUAACAUAACUCUGCAUUUGAACUAGGUAUAUCUCUCUCUCUCUGUGGAUAAUUAAAAAGCUAUUUGUAAAUGAAAUAAAAUAUUAAAUACAUAAAGGCACCACAUUGAGUUACAUUUUUCCACAAAGCACAGCCACUCUCUAACAAAUACAUAUUUACCAUUUCAAUCAACUAUGCUCUUCGACAAGCCAAACGAAUUCACUUCCCUUAAAACCUAAAAAGCCUAAGCAAUAAUAUGGUCUUUGAGACACAAAGGAGAAACAGUGUCCCAUCAUGAUUGUUUCCUGGACCAGCUAUAGGACAGUUGCCCAUGCAAUAGGCCAUAGCCAGGCCCUGCAAUGCAGUAGCUCCCUUCAGGGGGCACUCAGAGUGCUAUUUUCCCCUUCCUGGGUCCCCCAUUGCCCCUACCACACCUCCUAAGAAUGCUCCAGGGCUGGUUCUGUGCUGAAGUGCAGGGUCCCUCAUCGCACACUGUAACCUGCAGUACCCUAGACUGCUGCCUCCUCGGCUUACCACAGGGGGCAGACGCUGACUGAGAAAGUGGUUCAAGAAACAAAUUCCUAAGGAAAAGCAGGGAAAUGCAAAAAAUGUAAUAAAUGAAUAAAAUAAAAAUAAAAUAAAUUUUAAAACAUGUUUUCUGGUUUCACCUUCAAUAGUACAAUACAUCUCAUGAGAUAUGGUUUAUCUCACAUAUUUAAAAAAUAAACAGCUCUUCAUUAAUGCUGAGGAUGUAUGAACUUAAGGUUUAAAGCUAGGGUGAUUUAAAGUUUUUUUGCAGGAAACCACUUCUUGGUGGUGUGCUUCUUUUUAUGUCAAAUUUAAUAAUUCUAUGAAUAUGUUUCACUCAAAUGUCCCAGCUUUGUUAUAAUCCCCCAGAUGAAUAAUGCAUUUCUCAGAAAGUAUCCUUCCCAAAGCAGAAAGCACUAUGAACAUUCUUUAUAACUUCCUUUGCCAGUCCAUGGUUUUUCAUCCUUUGCUACACAUUUUUCAAAACCUGAGCAAAGGCACAUAAAUUAUUGUUAUUCUUAAUCAGCUGAGCUAUUGUACAUGCAAAAUUCAAAAAUCUCAACCUGUGGAAAGCAUUAGGAAGAGAUAUCACUACUGAUUAUUGCUCUGUACAGACUUUCUCGUGUUGUUAUCCUAACUUUAUUUUAGUGUGGUGGUGUCAAGCAUGGACUCUGGGGCUUGCCUGCUGGGAUCUGAAAUUUUGCUUCACCACUUACUGAGUUAUCGUGAACAUGUUACUUGAUUUUUGUGCCUCAGUCUUCUCAUCUAUAAAAUGGACAUCUAUAAAUAAUGGUCCUUAUCACAUUGUUUGGAAGAUUAAACGAGUUAAUAUUUGUAAAUUAUGCAUAUUUAUUAAAAACAGAACGCUGCUUGAUAGGGUGUUUUAUACAUAAAAGAAAGCAUAUAUUUUUUAUAGCAUCAUGCAGCUCCACAUCAAUAUGUCCAUAUUAAUGAUUGGGUCUCUUUUCUCUACCUGUCCAGAAUGCUUGACAUAUGACAGUGGGAUACAUUAGGGAACUGCCUGGGUGCCAGUAUUUUCAUCUAAAAAAUGGUGAUGAUGAUCUUGCCUUGGAGGUCUGAUGUGCAAUAAAGGGAGGCAGCACACAUAAAGUGCUUAGCAAAAGAUCUUAUUGGGAAUCCAUAAAUGCUCAUUGACAAAUAGAAAUAACUACAUGCAAAGUCAUCAUAUAAGUUCAAACCACAUAAAGAUUCUAGAAGAUAAAAUUACUAUCAUAGAAACAAAACAAUUGUUUAUUGAAAGGGUCAGGUCAUUUUGUCUUUUUAUUAUCAGAGUCAAAUUAGAAAUUUUCAAUCCACAAUUUCCAAAGAAAAUAUUCAGAGAGAAUUUCAAGAAAAUUUCAUCCCUUCAGGGUUUUAUAGCCUUUUUAAAAACUUAAACACAAUAAAAAUGUCAAUAUUUUAACACUACAUUUCUACUUACUGGAAAAGCCUUGUAGAAAUACUAUUAAAGUUUACUUAGAAGCAAACAAGGCAAAUUGGGAUACUUGUAAGUUUCUUGCUUCUUUGUGCUACUCCAUGGUGGAGGAAUAACCAUUCAUAGUUUCCUUUGUAAGGAUGAUCAAAGAGGAAAAUGGAAAUCACUUGUGUAAGUACAAGUCAAUUAUUUACAUGUGAAAAAGAGGUAAAAUCGGUGGUCUGGAGUAGGCACAAUCUUUAUUUUAAUGAACGGCAUUUUAGUUUUAGAUGACUGGGAAUCUUAACUCCCCCACCCCUAUACAUUAUGGCAUAUUCAGUAAAUAUCUUUACAAAAUUUGUUGCUGCUGCAUAAGACUUUACUCACCUGUGGGCAAUUCCAGAUAAUUGAAAAUUGCAUUAGUUUUGGUGAAAAAUAAGCAUGAUAUUAGAACUGGGUCUUCGGUGGAUGGUAGGACAGGUUGGACUUAGGAAUGUAGGUUCUUAGGAACACAAAGGCCAAUUGAAUUAUAACAGAGUAUCUGGGAAAGCUCUUGGAGUGUGGGCAAUUAGAAGAAAAUGAGCAGGUUUCAGUGAAGACUACAGUCAAUGAGCAAGAGAUGAAAAGAGAAUAUGAGGCUGAGAAGUACUGGGAGGGAAGAGCUUAUAUCAGGGCAGUCUUUCUAGCACCAGAUAGAAACCAUUCUGUCACUAUGUUGAAUAGAAAUGGUGAUAUUGGGUAACCUUGCCUGGUUCUAGUUGUAAGAAGGAAUGUUUUCAAUUGUUCCCUGUUCAGAAUGAUGUUGGCCGUGGGUUUGUCAUAUAGUGCUUUUAACAUUUUGAAGUA